rnacentral:lncRNA from 1 species
AUGUACAGCAGGUUUUUUCUAACAAUUCUCAGGAUAGGUUGUCUUCCCCUGCCCUUAGGACCACAAUCCACACAGGCACAUUCACUGCUGUUGCCUUCUCCCGAGCGAUAUGCAAGGCACAAGUAUUUCAUAAUUGAAUAUACGAAUGUUGGUGUGUGCCAGGGGGGUCUACAAAAAUUCAUAAAAAUUAAGGCUAUGAAAAGCAGUAGGCAUAGAUUUCAAAUUUUUUGCAUCAAAAUAAAUUAAUCUUUUAAUUCCAUUUUCCACAAAUGUUUAGAAGUAUCCUCUUCUAAGUAUGUCCAUCCAACACAUGUCCCACAUUGCAAAGUGACUAAUUUACUAGUUUACAAUUUAUUGAGCAUGUGCCAUGUUUCAGACAUUGAGGAUACACAAUGAACCAAGAAUCAGCUGCUCUUGCCAUCUCAGAAACUCUAUUAAUUGGAACAAUCAGAUGCAUUUAUGAGAUUCCAGAAAGAAAAGAUGAGUGCAAAGGACAUAAAUGCUCCAGUUUAUGGUAAGGAAUGUCAUGAACCAAGGCAAAUGGUUGAGGGAUACGUUUGGUCUAGGCACUAAGACACUACUUGGAAUGCCAACAUCCUAUAUCAGAGUGCCUGGCUUGAGCCUUUGCUCCACUCCACUCCUGAUUCCACAUUCCUGCUCAUGUGCACUCUAGGGAGCAGUAAGUGAUGGCUCAUUCCUCAUCAUCCUUCCUCAUUCCUCAUCAUCCACAUCAGAGACCCAGAUGGAGUUCUGGGCUCCUGGCUUUGGCCAGGCCCAGACUCAGCUACUAUAGGCACUUUGGGAGUGAAUCAGCAGAUGGAAGAACUCUGUUCUCAGAUUCUCUGCAUCUCUGUCUGUCUCUCUGCCUUUCAGGUAAAACAAGAAACAUCAGAUAUGGACUGAUUUGGUUUUUAAAUAGGUACUGAUUUUAGAUAUGUACUGAUAGUGGUUUUUUUUUUUUUUUUUUGGACAGACAGAGUGAGAGAGAGAGACAGAGAGAAAGGUCUUCCUUUUGCCGUUGGUUCACCCUCCGAUGGCUGCCACGGCUGGCGCACUGUGCUGAUCCGAAGGCAGGAGCCAGGUGCUUUUCCUGGUCUCCCAUGGGGUGCAGGGCCCAAGCACUUGGGCCAUCCUCCACUGCCUUCCCGGGCCACAGCAGAGAGCUGGCCUGGAAGAGGGGCAACCUGGACAGAAUCCGGCGCCCCGACCGGGACUAGAACCCAGUGUGCCGGCGCCGCUAGGUGGA